GUCCCCUCUUUCCAGUCGGUUUGACAUUUGGAUCGAAUUCGACACACACUCGACUCGCCGAUGUUUGCAGCUUUCAUUAUCUAUCUGCCACCAAAAUGGCCGCCCAUGUCUCUCUGUAGUGUCUUAAGUAGCAGGAGCCACACACACGCACACAGACCAGGCUAUAGGAAUCGGGACCGAAAAAUAUAUCAUAUCAUUACAUCACCACCACACCCAUUCCGGACGGCCUUUCUCUCUCUAUGUGUGUGUGUCUGCCUGGUAGGAGCUCUUUUGGCUAGGGCCCGCGCCAGCUGGACCCGGAGUUUGUUGCAAUGGUCGAGUGUGUGUUGUAACUGGGCAAUAUCUGGGAAA